AAAUUGAAGAGUUUGAUCAUGGCUCAGAUUGAACGCUGGCGGCAGGCCUAACACAUGCAAGUCGAACGGUAACAGGAAGCAGCUUGCUGCUUYGCUGACGAGUGGCGGACGGGUGAGUAAUGUCUGGGAAACUGCCUGAUGGAGGGGGAUAACUACUGGAAACGGUGGCUAAUACCGCAUAACGUCGCAAGACCAAAGAGGGGGACCUUCGGGCCUCUUGCCAUCAGAUGUGCCCAGAUGGGAUUAGCUUGUUGGUGAGGUAACGGCUCACCAAGGCGACGAUCCCUAGCUGGUCUGAGAGGAUGACCAGCCACACUGGAACUGAGACACGGUCCAGACUCCUACGGGAGGCAGCAGUGGGGAAUAUUGCACAAUGGGCGCAAGCCUGAUGCAGCCAUGCCGCGUGUAUGAAGAAGGCCUUCGGGUUGUAAAGUACUUUCAGCGGGGAGGAAGGUGUUGUGGUUAAUAACCGCAGCAAUUGACGUUACCCGCAGAAGAAGCACCGGCUAACUCCGUGCCAGCAGCCGCGGUAAUACGGAGGGUGCAAGCGUUAAUCGGAAUUACUGGGCGUAAAGCGCACGCAGGCGGUCUGUCAAGUCGGAUGUGAAAUCCCCGGGCUCAACCUGGGAACUGCAUUCGAAACUGGCAGGCUUGAGUCUUGUAGAGGGGGGUAGAAUUCCAGGUGUAGCGGUGAAAUGCGUAGAGAUCUGGAGGAAUACCGGUGGCGAAGGCGGCCCCCUGGACAAAGACUGACGCUCAGGUGCGAAAGCGUGGGGAGCAAACAGGAUUAGAUACCCUGGUAGUCCACGCCGUAAACGAUGUCUACUUGGAGGUUGUGCCCUUGAGGCGUGGCUUCCGGAGCUAACGCGUUAAGUAGACCGCCUGGGGAGUACGGCCGCAAGGUUAAAACUCAAAUGAAUUGACGGGGGCCCGCACAAGCGGUGGAGCAUGUGGUUUAAUUCGAUGCAACGCGAAGAACCUUACCUGGUCUUGACAUCCACAGAAGAAUCCAGAGAUGGAUUUGUGCCUUCGGGAACUGUGAGACAGGUGCUGCAUGGCUGUCGUCAGCUCGUGUUGUGAAAUGUUGGGUUAAGUCCCGCAACGAGCGCAACCCUUAUCCUUUGUUGCCAGCGGUUAGGCCGGGAACUCAAAGGAGACUGCCAGUGAUAAACUGGAGGAAGGUGGGGAUGACGUCAAGUCAUCAUGGCCCUUACGACCAGGGCUACACACGUGCUACAAUGGCGCAUACAAAGAGAAGCGACCUCGCGAGAGCAAGCGGACCUCAUAAACGUCACACCAUGGGAGUGGGUUGCAAAAGAAGUAGGUAGCUUAACCUUCGGGAGGGCGCUUACCACUUUGUGAUUCAUGACUGGGGUGAAGUCGUAACAAGGUAACCGUAGGGGAACCUGCGGUUGGAUCACCUCCUUA
rnacentral:rRNA from 1 species